AGUGAACGCUGGCAGUAGGCCUAACACAUGCAAGUCGAACGGCAGCACAGUAAGAGCUUGCUCUUACGGGUGGCGAGUGGCGGACGGGUGAGGAAUACAUCGGAAUCUACUUUUUCGUGGGGGAUAACGUAGGGAAACUUACGCUAAUACCGCAUACGACCUACGGGUGAAAGCAGGGGAUCUUCGGACCUUGCGCGAUUGAAUGAGCCGAUGUCGGAUUAGCUAGUUGGCGGGGUAAAGGCCCACCAAGGCGACGAUCCGUAGCUGGUCUGAGAGGAUGAUCAGCCACACUGGAACUGAGACACGGUCCAGACUCCUACGGGAGGCAGCAGUGGGGAAUAUUGGACAAUGGGCGCAAGCCUGAUCCAGCCAUACUGCGUGGGUGAAGAAGGCCUUCGGGUUGUAAAGCCCUUUUGUUGGGAAAGAAAAGCAGCAGGUUAAUACCCCGCUGUUCUGACGGUACCCAAAGAAUAAGCACCGGCUAACUUCGUG
rnacentral:rRNA from 1 species